rnacentral:rRNA from 1 species
UUAAAAUUAAGCUAUGCAGUCGGAACGUGGGUGAUAACGUCCACGCUCGCGAGGGAAACAACCCAGAUCGUCAGCUAAGGUCCCAAAAUUGUGUUAAGUGAGAAAGGUUGUGAGAUUUCAUAAACAACUAGGAAGUUGGCUUAGAAGCAGCCACCUUUUAAAGAGUGCGUAAUUGCUCACUAGUCAAGAGAUCUUGCGCCAAUAAUGUAACGGGACUCAAACACAAUACCGAAGCUACGGGCACAUUAUGUGCGUUAGGAGAGCGUUUUAAUUUCGUUGAAGUCAGACCGUGAGGACUGGUGGAGAGAUUAAAAGUGAGAAUGCCGGCAUGAGUAACGAUUCGAAGUGAGAAUCUUCGACGCCUAUUGGGAAAGGUUUCCUGGGCAAGGUUCGUCCACCCAGGGUUAGUCAGGGCCUAAGAUGAGGCAGAAAUGCAUAGUCGAUGGACAACAGGUUAAUAUUCCUGUACUUGGUAAAAGAAUGAUGGAGUGACGAAAAAGGAUAGUUCUACCACUUACUGGAUUGUGGGGUAAGCAACAAGAGAGUUAUAUAGGCAAAUCCGUAUAGCAUAAUCUUGAGUUGUGAUGCAUAGUGAAGACUUCGGUCGAGUAACGAAUUGAAUGAUUUCAUGUUUCCAAGAAAAGCUUCUAGUGUUAAUUUUUUAUCAACCUGUACCGAGAACGAACACACGUUCCCAAGAUGAGUAUUCUAAGGCGAGCGAGAAAACCAAUGUUAAGGAACUCUGCAAAAUAACCCCGUAAGUUCGCGAGAAGGGGCGCCUAUUUUUAAUAGGCCACAGAAAAUAGGGGGGGCAACUGUUUAUCAAAAACACAGCUCUCUGCUAAGUUGUAAAACGACGUAUAGAGGGUGAAGCCUGCCCAGUGCCCGAAGGUUAAACGGAGAUGUUAGCUUACGCAAAGCAUUAAAGUGAAGCCCGGGUGAACGGCGGCCGUAACUAUAACGGUCCUAAGGUAGCGAAAUUCCUUGUCAACUAAUUAUUGACCUGCACGAAAGGCGCAAUGAUCUCCCUACUGUCUCAACAUUGGACUCGGUGAAAUUAUGGUACCAGUGAAAACGCUGGUUACCCGCAUCAAGACGACAAGACCCCGUGGAGCUUUACUAUAACUUCGUAUUGAAAAUUGGUUUAGCAUGUGUAGG